AGAGUUUGAUCAUGGCUCAGAAUGAACGUUGGCGGCGUGGAUUAGGCAUGCAAGUCGAGCGAGAACCUGGCUGUGGAGACUUCGGUCGAAGCAGCCGGGGGAAAGCGGCAAACGGGGUAGUUAUACGUAGGUGACGUGCCCAAGGGUCUGGGAUAGCCACGGGAAACCGUGGGUAAUACCGGAUGAUCUCGCGGAGUGUGAUGAUUCUGCGAGCAAAGGUGUGAUUCCGCCCAUGGAGCGGCUUACGCGGUAUUAGCUGGUUGGUGAGGUAACGGCUCACCAAGGCUGUGAUGCCUAGGGGGUGUUAGCGCAUGACCCCCACCACUGGGACUGAGAUACUGCCCAGACACCUACGGGUGGCUGCAGUCGAGAAUCUUCGGCAAUGGGCGCAAGCCUGACCGAGCGACGCCGCGUGCGGGAUGAAGGCCCUUGGGUUGUAAACCGCUGUCAGAGGGGAUGAAAUGUGGAAGGGUUCUCCCUUUCACUUGACAGAGCCUCAGAGGAAGCACGGGCUAAGUACGUGCCAGCAGCCGCGGUAACACGUACUGUGCAAACGUUAUUCGGAAUUACUGGGCUUAAAGGGUGCGUAGGCGGCCGAUUAAGUAGGGUGUGAAAUCCCUCGGCUCAACCGAGGAAUGGCGCUCUAAACUGGUCGGCUUGAGUGAGAUAGGGGUGUGUGGAACUUCCGGUGGAGCGGUGAAAUGUGUUGAUAUCGGAAGGAACGCCGGUAGCGAAAGCGGCACACUGGGUCUUAACUGACGCUGAGGCACGAAAGCCAGGGUAGCGAACGGGAUUAGAUACCCUAGUAGUCC
rnacentral:rRNA from 1 species